UACGGAAAAAAGGGGUGCCUCACGAGGCGUUGCCCGGAGGCUGAGAUUACACCCGUCGAACCUGAUACGGUCAGUACCGUCGUAGGGACUUUUCGAGUGCUUUGC
rnacentral:ncRNA from 2 species